rnacentral:rRNA from 1 species
GACGAACCGUGCGAACGUUGUUCGGAAUCACUGGGCUUAAAGGGCGCGUAGGCGGGUUGCCAAGUCCGGGGUGAAAGCCCCCAGCUCAACUGGGGAAGGGCCUUGGAUACUGGUGAUCUCGAGGGAGGUAGGGGCAUGCGGAACUUCCGGUGGAGCGGUGAAAUGCGUAGAUAUCGGAAGGAACGCCGGUGGCGAAAGCGGCGUGCUGGACCUCUUCUGACGCUGAGGCGCGAAAGCGUGGGGAGCAAACAGG